CUGACAAAGGGCUAAUAUCCAGAAUCUACUACACACUUUAAAACAUGAAUUUAUUACAGUUUUGUAGGUCAGAAAUCCAACAGAAGUUGCUUGAGGCUAAAAUCAAGGUGUCCACCGGGCUGUGUUACUUUCUGGUUGUACUAAGAGAAAAUCUGUUUCCUUGUCUUUUCCAGCUUCUAGAGCCUGCUCACAUUCACUGAUUUGGGGUCUCUUUCCUCCAUUUUCAAAGCUAGCAAUGUAGCUUUGAUGAUGCUUUUGUUGUUAUAUGUUUUUCUCUGACACUCCCUCUUCUAUUUCCCUCUUUUUUGAAUGAUCCUUGUGAUUACACUGGACCCAUUGGAUAAUCCAAGAUAAUCUCUCUAUUUUAAGGAUUUCCCUCUCUGGUUGUUUUGAGCCUCAAAAUUUAUGCACGAUUUGGAAUGCAGACGUAAAGCAGCAACUAUAUUUUUUUUAUUCAUGGAAAGUUGGAGCAAGGCAGGUGGCACUGUUGCAGCUCACACACACUGUUGCUAAUUUGCUGGUCACCCUGUGAGCAUGAGGCGGCAUCUGAGUUCAUUACUCCACCAGCCAGACUUCCUCUUUACUUUGUGCUGAAUCCUUGGCCAGGUGAAUACUGAAGCUUCAAAAGAAAGAAGAUAGGCAAGACUCAAUUCCAAGCCUUGAGCCAACGUCCUGGGGAAGAAAACUGUAUCUAAGGGAUCCAGAGGCAGACAACAGAAGUUAAAAGGCACAGUGCAGGUCACUCCCCUCAGAUGCAUCCUCCAAACUGGAAAGUGCUAAUUUCCCAAACCAUAAACUGGUUGGCUUAAUUAAGAUUGGGCUGAGGUGAAGGGAACCCAGAAGCCCAACAUGUCGGCAAAAGGAAAACAAGUAAACCAACUUGCUGGAAGUAUGUAUGUUUCAUAUUUUGAAUAAAAUUUGGAUUAUUUAUCAGAA